UCAAACCAAUUGACCUUCCAUUCAAUUACUCUCUCUCUCUCUCUCUCUCUCUCUCACACACACACACACACAAUACCCCUCUCAUCCCUCAACCCACGAUCAAAACCCUUUCUCUCUCAUUUCCAUCAUUUUCUAAACCAUAGCUGCUUCAAAAUAGGAGAAACUCCACUGGAAGAGUCGAUUUCUGUCGGCUUAACACUCUUCGGUCGAUGCAACAACGUUUUAAUCAAUGGAAGAUUUGCAAUCGACAACAAGAACAAGAAUGACGAAAAGAAGCAUACCUUUUAAAAGCCAACCCACCCAGACUGCAGGUGAGCAAUCUCUUGCAUUUGCCUUUUGUAUUCAUAAAGUAGUUGACAUUAUUGUAGGCAGUGGUGUACAUUAUGUUUUUGUUUUAAGCUACAUCAAUUGGUUUCAUAGAAUGCUUGUAAUUGAGUGAAAGUUAUGUUCUUCUAUGCAUGAUUUGCUUGCUUUUGUACAUUAUUUAUCAAGUAGUCUGCAUUACAUUAUAUUAAUGCGAUAUAUUAUUGAUACCGUCGAUUAUAAUCGUGUACUGAUGUCGUAUUUUGGACAGCAGCGAAGCAGCCUAGUAUGAAUGUAUGAUCUGUUACAUUUUUUCAUUUUUUCUGUACAUUAUUUAUUCAAAAUUUUACAUUAUUCGAUACGGAUAUGCUACAUUAUUGUGUUACAGUUUCUGCUCUAUAUGGUCCUCUGUAUCUUCUUUCAAAAUUCAUAUGCACAUUAUUUAACCCAAUAUUUACAUUACUUCAUACUGAUGUGCUACAUUAUUUUGUGUUAUAGUAUGACCUGUUAUAUUUUUUCAUUUUUUCUGUACAUUAUUUAAUCAAAAUUUUACAUUAUUUGAUACCGAUGUGCUACAUUAUUGUGUGUUAUAUAAGUGUGUGUUAUAUUAAUACACUUUUUUACAUACAUUACCGGCUUCAUAAGGUUACAGGUAAAUAUGCAUACAUUAGGCCUUUAGACAUUGUUUGAUCAAAUAUUUACAUUAUUUCGCACUGAUAUGUUACAUUGUUAUUAUUUGUUAUUUUGUAGUAAUGUAUAUCCGAAUUAACCAGUAAUGUAACAUUUUGACUAAUCAAUGUAUUCGUUUAUGAAUAUGUACAAAGAGGUCCAGAGUCGAAUUCGAUGACAGUGAGGAGUCCGCUUGUAUUAUAUUUCUUUUUUUUUUUGUUUGUUGUAAUAUGAUGGAAAUAGAAAACAAUGAAUGUUUUAGAAACUGUUAAACAUAGAUUUUGGGGAUGUAAAAGAGUAGUGAUGUGCAUUCAUAUCUAAAUAGUGUAACAUUAAUCUAUCAAAUAAUGUACAUUUACGAUCUAUUGAUGUGGACAAAGAGGAUCCCAACAUUACAUUACUUGAUGUAAAACAUAUACAUUAUUAUUGAACAUA